UGGGCUUGACAUCUUGGGGAAAGCCGGUGGAAACAUCGGCCCCUCUUCGGAGUCCGUGCACAGGUGCUGCAUGGCUGUCGUCAGCUCGUGUCGUGAGAUGUUGGGUUAAGUCCCGCAACGAGCGCAACCCUCGUCCCUAGUUACCAGCGGGUUAUGCCGGGCACUCUAGGGAGACUGCCGGUGUCAAACCGGAGGAAGGUGGGGAUGACGUGUGCGUAACAGAA
rnacentral:misc_RNA from 1 species